rnacentral:rRNA from 1 species
AGUGAACGCUGGCGGUAGGCCUAACACAUGCCAGUCGAACGGCAGCACAGUAAGAGCUUGCUCUUACGGGUGGCGAGUGGCGGACGGGUGAGGAAUACAUCGGAAUCUACUUUUUCGUGGGGGAUAACGUAGGGAAACUUACGCUAAUACCGCAUACGACCUACGGGUGAAAGCAGGGGAUCUUCGGACCUUGCGCGAUUGAAUGAGCCGAUGUCGGAUUAGCUAGUUGGCGGGGUAAAGGCCCACCAAGGCGACGAUCCGUAGCUGGUCUGAGAGGAUGAUCAGCCACACUGGAACUGAGACACGGUCCAGACUCCUACGGGAGGCAGCAGUGGGGAAUAUUGGUCAAUGGGCGCAGGCCUGAUCCAGCCAUACCGCGUGGGUGAAGAAGGCCUUCGGGUUGUAAAGCCCUUUUGUUGGGAAAGAAAAGCAGCAGGUUAAUACCCCGCUGUUCUGACGGUACCCAAAGAAUAAGCACCGGCUAACUUCGUG